ACGGCGAGUGAAGCGGCAACAGCUCAAAUUUGAAAUCUGGCUUCUGCCCGAGUUGUAAUUUGCUUAGGAUGUUUCUGGCCCGGUGCCUUCCCAGUUCCCUGGAACGGGACGCCGCAGACGGUGAGAGCCCCAUUUGGUUGGACACCAAGCCUGUGUGAAACUCCUUCUACGAGUCGAGUAGUUUGGGAAUGCUGCUCUAAAUGGGAGGUAAAUCUCUUCUAAAGCUAAAUACCGGCCAGAGACCGAUAGCCCACAAGUAGAGUGAUCGAAAGAUGAAAAGCACCUUGAAAAGGGGGUUAAAUAGUACGUGAAAUUGUUGAAAGGGAAGCACUUAUGACCAKACUUGGGCCGGGCGGCUCAUCWGGGGUUCUCCCCUKUGCACUCCGCCCGGCACAGGCCAGCAUCGGUUCUCGUGGGGGGAUAAKACCGUCAGGAAYGUAGCACCCUCCGGGGUGUGUUAUAGCCUGGCGGACGAUACCCCCGUGGGGACMGAGGUCCKCGCUCCGCAAGGAKGCUGGMGUAAUGGUCAUCASYGACCCGUCUUGAAACACGGACCAAGGAGUCGUCCAUUAGAGCGAGCGUUUGGGUGUAAAACCCGCACGAGUAAAGAAAGUGAACGCAGGUGAGAGCUUCGGCGCAUCAUCGACCGAUCCUGAUGUUCUCGGAAGGAUUUGAGUAAGAGUUUUAACGGACGGACCCGAAAGACAGUGAACUAUGCUUGUAUAGGGUGAAGCCAGAGGAAACUCUGGUGGAGGCUCGCAGCGGUUCUGACGUGCAAAUCGAUCGUCA
rnacentral:rRNA from 1 species